UAAUGUUCUUCUGCAGCUGAUCCUCCAUCUUCUUCUUGUAGCUGUUCUUCCCAUCCUUGAUUUUCUUCCUCAGUUAUUUCUGCACUGUUCUCAAGUCCUCCUUGUUCCCUGAUCAAACAUGUUUCAAUGUUUGUAAAAUAAGCAUAAAAUUUUUGAUAUUCAGGUAAAUUACUAGUCCCCACUGACAUCAUCUGGUCUGGGUACUGUUUUGGGUACUUUAUUUCAACAUUAUACUUAAGUUUAUACAUGAUGGCUGUAUUAGUAGCCCCAUUUACUGAAUGGUGCUAUUAAUUCAACCUCACCGGCAUGUAGAUUCUCUUGUUUACCUCUAGAGAGCAGUAGUACUGUAGAUCGUCUCUAGUAGACGAGGAACCAUGCAGGCGUGCUGUGUAAAUGGUUGUCAGGAACAGAGCUCGGCACAGUUAACCGAUACAAGCUUGGCACGGCUCGUAACCAGAAAAGAAAAUACAUGCUAGAGAUAUUAUUUUAGCAGGUAUUUUUUGAGUGAAUUGCUUUAAAAACACAUAAUCUUUAUCAGCCUUAUACACAUGACAAAUUAAAAAUGGAUGUAAAUGUGCUUGGAAAAAAUACUGAGGUGGAGGAGGGUGAUCCUGCAGACUCUGAGAAAAGAAAGGAGUCUUAAUCUGACAUGUCAGACCAUCAAAGUGAGUACAUAUUAGCUAAAAUGCAUUGACCAUUAUUGUUCACCCAUUAAAUUUAUAACUGCUCUUGGAAGUCAGAUCUAAAAUGUCCUUUUAGAAAAGCUAAAUUGUAUCUUACCAUCACUUAUUAAAAGUGCACUGUUUUACAGAGUAAGUCUUAAUGAAAAUACAUGAAACCGUUUGGGCAUAACUAGGUUUCUUACAGCGAUUUUGUUUGUAUCAUAGGUGAAAAAGAAGAAGCUGAAGGUGGUGGAAUUUCAUCUCAUUCUGAUAAUCCUUUUUCAGAUGUCAAAAAACAAGUGGAUGUUAACACCACAGAGUUGAAUUCUUUUGAGUCUGAGGAAAAUAAAAUUUCACUUGAUCUGUCACAUGACCAUAGUACUGAGAAAUAUAUGGAUGAGGAGGGAAGUGGCAGAGUUGCUAAGCUCAGGGAGAAAUUCACUGGGCCAAAUGAAGCAGCACCUAGAGCUAUUGCCCCCAAAGUUAAUAAGGAGCAAAAUCUGGAUGACCCUGAAAACUCCGGGAGACCAAAUGACAAAGUUACUGCUGUGUCAGUUGAUCAGAGUCCUGAGGAAAAUAUGGAUGAGGAACAAAGUUGUAGAGUUGCUAAGCUCAGGGAGAAAUUCACUGGGCCAAAUGAAGCAGCACCUGAAGGUAGUGCCCAACAAGUUAAUAAGGAGCUAAUACUGGAUGAUCCUGAAAAGUCUGGGAGACCAAAUGACAAAGUUGUGUCAGCUGAUCA